rnacentral:rRNA from 1 species
GGGGGAAUAUUGGACAAUGGGGGAGCCCUGGAUCCAGCCAUGUCGCGUGUGUGAAGAAGGCCUUAUGGUUGUAAAGCACUUUAAGCGAGGAGGAGGCUCUUUUUGUUAAUACCGCAGACUGAGUGGUCGUUACUCGCAGAAUAAGCACCGGCUAACUCUG